CCUACGUGAGGCAGCAGUGAGGAAUAUUGGUCAAUGGGCGCGAGCCUGAACCAGCCAAGUAGCGUGAAGGAUGACUGUCCUACGGGUUGUAAACUUCUUUUAUAAAGGAAUAAAGUGAGGCACGGGUGCCUUUUUGUAUGUACUUUAUGAAUAAGGAUCGGCUAACUCCGUGCCAGCAGCCGCGGUAAUACGGAGGAUCCGAGCGUUAUCCGGAUUUAUUGGGUUUAAAGGGAGCGUAGAUGGGUUGUUAAGUCAGUUGUGAAAGUUUGCGGCUCAACCGUAAAAUUGCAAUUGAUACUGGCAGUCUUGAGUACAGUUGAGGUAGGCGGAAUUCGUGGUGUAGCGGUGAAAUGCUUAGAUAUCACGAAGAACUCCGAUUGCGAAGGCAGCUUACUAAACUGCCACUGACAUUGAUGCUCGAAAGUGUGGGUAUCAAACAGGAUUAGAUACCCUUGUAGUC
rnacentral:rRNA from 1 species